rfam:Caprimulgus carolinensis contig91888, whole genome shotgun sequence.
UUUUCCCAGGGCGAGGCUCAUCCCCUGCACUCCGGGUGUGCUGACCCCUGCGAUUUCCCCAAAUGCGGGAAACUCGACUGCAUAAUUUGUGGUAGUGGGGGACUGCGUUCGCGCUCUCCCCCG